AUUGAACGCUGGCGGCAGGCUUAACACAUGCAAGUCGAGCGGGGUGAUGGUGCUUGCACUAUCACUUAGCGGCGGACGGGUGAGUAAUGCUUAGGAAUCUGCCUAUUAGUGGGGGACAACAUCUCGAAAGGGAUGCUAAUACCGCAUACGUCCUACGAGAGAAAGCAGGGGAUCACUUGUGACCUUGCGCUAAUAGAUGAGCCUAAGUCGGAUUAGCUAGUUGGUGGGGUAAAGGCCUACCAAGGCGACGAUCUGUAGCGGGUCUGAGAGGAUGAGCCGCCACACUGGGACUGAGACACGGCCCAGACUCCUACGGGAGGCAGCAGUGGGGAAUAUUGGACAAUGGGGGGAACCCUGAUCCAGCCAUGCCGCGUGUGUGAAGAAGGCCUUAUGGUUGUAAAGCACUUUAAGCGAGGAGGAGGCUCUUUUGGUUAAUACCCAAGAUGAGUGGACGUUACUCGCAGAAUAAGCACCGGCUAACUCUGUGCCAGCAGCCGCCGUAA
rnacentral:rRNA from 1 species